rnacentral:misc_RNA from 1 species
GGGGAAAAGAAGGGAAAAUAUGAAGGUAUUCCUGCCACCACACUAAAAUUUUCCACUCUAAAUAACAGGUAGGUGAAGUUCAAAUGAUAAAAGGAUAACCAGGUUGUAAUUAAAUUGAAACCAACAUUUUUAAAUCUUUCAUAACUUUUAAUUUCCUGUUUCUAAGUGCAAAUCACUCAACUGAACUUGUAGUCAUCUAUUUGUUUCAUAGUCAAUAUAGUAUUUAUAUUUAGGGCAAUCUACAUCUUCAGUCCACCCACUCUAAAGCAUAUCUGACAAGAGUAGUAAAUGAGGUGGCAGACCUAUCCCCACUCAACAAAUGGGAGAGGUGGAUAACCACCCUCAGGCGGAGGCCUUAGAGAGGGAGGCAGAUUGCUCAGUGAUGCUCCGGCCUUUUCUCUGAACACAUCACCUGGAAAAGAGGCUGAACCAAAAGGUUGACUACUUGAAUGGAAACCCUCUCUACUAUUUUCCCCUGGAGGGAGUCCCGUUUGGUUCACAGUUUGAGGGUUUUGCUUGGGAUGAUAAUAUUUGCAGGAGUCCCCAUACUGGCAAUACCCCGUUCGAACAAAGUGAUUGCAGACUCCUUUACCGAACGAGUCCGGAUCGUUAAAUAAUUGGGGAUUGCGCAAGGAGUCGUACCAAAGAGCCUUGGCUCUUUGAUGUUGAACACCUUGAAGAUGACGCCUCCGAGCAGCUGCGGUAUCCUGGAAUUCCUUAUCGCAGUAAUCGCAGUAGUAUUUACCCAACGGCAUUUUUUACUAAAACUAAAAUCCCAAUGCCUAAUGGCUUUUUAUAUGUUUGCCUGUACAAGUUUCCAGAUCUCGUUUAGGCUCCG